UACGUAGGGUGCAAGCGUUUAAUCGGAAUUACUGGGCGUAAAGCGUGCGCAGGCGGUUUUGUAAGUCUGUCGUGAAAUCCCCGGGCUCAACCUGGGAAUUGCGAUGGAGACUGCAAGGCUAGAAUCUGGCAGAGGGGGUAGAAUUCCACGUGUAGCAGUGAAAUGCGUAGAGAUGUGGAGGAACACCGAUGGCGAAGGCAGCCCCUGGGUCAAGAUUGACGCUCAUGCACGAAAGGCGUGGGAGCAAACAGG
rnacentral:rRNA from 1 species